AUUGAACGCUGGCGGAAUGCUUUACACAUGCAAGUCGAACGGUAGAGGGGGCAACCCCUCGAGAGUGGCGAACGGGUGAGUAAUAUAUCGGAACGUGCCCAGUCGUGGGGGAUAACGUAGCGAAAGUUACGCUAAUACCGCAUACGAACUAAGGAUGAAAGCGGGGGAUCGCAAGACCUCGCGCGAUUGGAGCGGCCGAUAUCAGAUUAGGUAGUUGGUGGGGUAAAGGCUCACCAAGCCAACGAUCUGUAGCUGGUCGGAGAGGACGACAAGCCACACUGGAACUGAGACACGGUCCAGACUCCUACGGGAGGCAGCAGUGGGGAAUUUUGGACAAUGGACGCAAGUCUGAUCCAGCCAUUCCGCGUGCAGGAUGAAGGCCCUCGGGUUGUAAACUGCUUUUGUACGGAACGAAAAGGUCUCUCUUAAUACGGGGGACUCAUGACGGUACCGUAAGAAUAAGCACCGGCUAACUACGUGCCAGCAGCCGCCGUAAAAC
rnacentral:rRNA from 1 species